AAGUGGAACCGGAGCCCGGGCGCGGGCGCCCACGUUCCAUUCCCGGGAAGGCCUGGGAAGGGAGGGAAUCGCUCACCCGCCAGCCCGCCUGCAGGGAAAGGGCUCCUGGAGCUGUCGAUGCCUGCCCGACGCUGAGAUAACUCUUGGGUCCCAGUUAUCCACCAGCCACUUCUGCCUCGAUUCACCAAAGGGCAGGGAAAGAACCUUUUGGUGAGAUGGUGUGAAUUAGCGACAUCCAGCCUGAGCUGAAGUCUCCAGCGGGUCAAAGAAAUCUUUCCAUUUGCAAACUACCAAGGCUGACUUGCUGUGCAUUUGGCGGGCCUCCUGCCCCUGAUUCUGCUGGUUUGGAGAUGCUUUCUCGCUCUUUGGUUGGCUUCUGUCUCCACACAUUGUGGGGAUCCCAGGGAUUCGUCAUAGGACUCUCGGAUCGCUGGUGCCUCCACUGUGAUCUCCGGUCUCCCUGCGGCCAGCACUGACUUCUAGCAACAGAAUCCUGCAUGAGGGCCUAGGCACAGAACUUUAUUUCCACUCUUCUGAACACAUCUAAUGUGAUGCUCUGCAAUUGUCUGAAAUUUAUCCUACCCUAAGUCAUUAUCUUGUCCCCUUCUCUGGAACCUGCUUCACUUCCCGUAUCCCAAGGUGAGGUUUGGGGCUUCGCUGUCCUCCUCACUUCCCAGGCCACUCUUCUUCAUGGAAGCCUCGCGGUUUACCCUCCACCGCCUACACCUUAUCUUCUUGUUACUUUUGCCCCACAGAUAUCACCCUGAUAUGAUCUCUGUUUCUCACUCCUGCUGGCUUGAUCUUAUGUCUUGCAUUAUUCCGCAUUAGAACAAUUGAUCCCUGUCAACUCCCAUCUCUAUUCUCCACGUCGGUGUCCUCACUAUUUCCAGGUUAUAUUGCAGAACCAAAGCUGCUUAUUUGUCACGUUGAUGCUUAGACACCUCUGUGGGCUUCUGGCAGCUGAAAGGAUAAAAUUUAAUUUCUGUGGUUUGGUUUAGUAAAUUCUCAUAAUCUGCUCCUGUAUUUGUUUGUUAGGGCUGCCAUAACAAAGUACCAGAGACUGGGUGGCUUAACAGAAAUUUAUUUGCUCACCUUGUCUCUACAAAAAAUACAAAAAUUAGCCAGGCUUUGCGGUGUGUGCCUUUGGUCCCAGCUAUUAGGGACGCUGAGGUGGGAGGAUCGCUUGAGCCCGGGAGGCAGAGGAUGUAGUGAGCCAAGAUCGGGCCACUGCACUCCAAGUGACAGAGUGAGACUCUGUCUCAUAAAGAAAGAAAGAGAGAGAGAGAAGAAAGAAAAAAAGAAGGAAGGAAGGAAAAAGAAAAGAAAAAUUGUAUUUUCUCACGAGGUGUUGGCAGAGUUGGUUUCUUCUGAGGCCUCUCUCCUUGGCUUGCAGAUGGCCCCGCUUUUGUGUCCUCACGCCGUCUUCCCUCUUCCCUCUGUAUGCGUCUGUGUCCUAAUUGUCUAUUCUUAUACAUCAUAUUGGAUUAGGGCCUACCCUCAUGACCUUGUUUUCACUUCAUUACUUCUGUAAAGACCCUGUCUCCAAGUAUGGUCAUGUUCUGAGGUAAUGGGGGUUAGGACUUCAACACAGAAAUUUUUGGGGGGACACAAUUUAGCUUUAACAGCUCUUAAUGUACUCCUCUAGCAUGGCAUCCCAUGCCAUCCAUCCACCUUAAUGAAUUAUUCAUUUGUUCUCUAGGCACAUAUAACAUGCUGCUAAUAUUUAGGUAAUUAUGGCUACCUAUUACCUGAUCCUGCAGUUUAUUAAUUUAGAUAUUCAUGUUCUUCUCUUAACUGUGAGCUUCUCAAAGGCAAGACUGGUGGGUCUGGAGCACAGCCCUAGCUCAUGCUAUUCAUCAGUUCAUUCUGAAGACAUUUCCUGUGCCCUGAAUUAAGGUCUGGGCAUGUAGAGAGGAGUAUGAUACAGCCUUGGCCCUCAAGAGGAGACAGACCAAAAAUGAGAGAUUACCAAGUGGGUUAAGGGUUAUGGUGCCUGUCAUCCAAGGAACUUCUGAAGCUGAAGAUGUCCUGAAUAGCACCAGCAGCACUGCAGAGUCGAAGGAUUCUUACAGACACAUUCCAACAGAGGAGAGCCAGGCCUGGAAAGAGAAUGCAGAAUCUGAGCCAAAGGGUCCUCUGGAGAAUAGGCCUAGUACAAUGUUUUCAAAUUGUGAUCAGAAGAUCUCCAGCAUCACUUGCAGCUCUUGCUAAAAAUAUAGAUACUGGGUCCACAUUCCAACCUUAUUGACUCAAAAUCUUCCGGAUUCCAGUCCUGAAAUUCUGAAUCUUCACAGGGGAUUCUCAGGCAUCCAAAGUUUGAGAAGCACCAAUGUGUUCCAAAUGGAAGAGGUUUCAUAAAUAUUUCCCCCACAUUUCUAUACUUCACUGUUAGCACUAGUGAGACAAUCAUCUGGAAUCCCAGACUUAGAAGAAAAUUCAGUGGUCUUUGAGUCAGGUUACUCUAUGCUUGUGCCUGCAGUCACUAAUUCGUUGUAAGGACCCUGGAGCCAGACUGCCUGGAUUCUGAUUUACUCACUACUUCCUAGCUGUGUGACCUUGGGAAAGUCACUUUAUCUCCUUGUACCACCAAAGAUGAGGAUAAUGAUAAUGCCUACCUCAUAGGGUUGUUGUGAGGAUUAGGUGAAUUAAUACAUGUGUUUUAGUCCAUUCGGGCUGCUAUAAAAAAUAUCAUGUAGUGGGUGGCUUAUAAACGAUGAACCUUUAUUUCUUACAGUUCUGGAAGCUGGACGGUCCAAGAUCAUGCUGCCAGCAGAUUUGUGGUCUGUACUUAUUUACUCAAGAACAUUGUAAAAUCAAUUUUUACCACUUGACAUCUGAAAUCAUUAGAAGAAAAUCUGGUGUUUUGGGCUUUAUGAGAAGAACUGCUAACCACACAUGAAUGCAGUAUGCUGCUACCACAAAUUACGCAGUUGAGUUUCCCACAUUUGGAGAAAUCACAGGGAUCAGCAAGUCUUCAGUGGAAUAGAGAAGCCUUGCCCUAGGGAAAACUACCCUUGUGGUCAUGGUAUCUACCCUGCCUGGUGAAGAAGGUCCUUGCUUCCCCUUCUCCUUCCGCCAUGAUUGUAAGUUUCCUGAGGCCUCCCCAGCCAUGUAGAACUGAUUUUUAUAAAUCUUGACCUUCAUAUUAUUGUACCAUUCAUGAUUUUGUGGUUUUAAAGGUGGCUUUUCUUUUCCUAAUUAUUUAUUGAAAAUCUUUAAUUCCUCCUGUGAAUUCUGCCAGCUCACUUUUCAUUUUUCCAUGGUCAUGUAUUUUAUUUUAUAUUUUUCAUUCUUUUUUAAAGUUAAAAUUAUUUUUAAAGGAUUUCUGUUCCUGGCUCUGAUGGAGCAACACGGACAGAUUUACCCUCUUACUUAAACAAAAUACAGACAAAAUUUAUAAAGGAUGGUUCUGAAACAUGGGACAACAGGCAGUAUAAACAGUAAUUUUUCAAAGAAGAUAAAAAAAGGAAGUAAACCCUAUGGUUUCUCUACUGAUUCCCUAGAAAGAGAUUUCAAGCUAUCAGUCUCACUCAAUUGAGAAGACAGAGUUCAUUGAGAAUUUGGGGAAAGUCAAAGUGGACAGAAUUCACAAAGAACUAAAAAAAAGAGUAUUGUGCAGAGAAAGAGCUCCAGCUACCUCCACAGAGUUUCCCUUGAGUUUUCAGAUCAUGCGUUUGGUGAACCCACCUGAGGCAAGGGAAAGAACUACCAGAAAGAAGCAGGUGGAAAAAUUCCUGAUGUUCACAUAGACCGGGAAAUUUCUCAAGUUUUUGUCAUCUGAAUUGAAGAAAUCUUAUACUGUAUGAGGUGUUGAAGAGAAUACUCAGAAGGACAAUGCCUCCGUAGUAGGACCAAACUAGCCUAGAGUAAAGGCUGGUCUGUCUUGUAUGACUCCUUGUGAAACUAUUCUGCUGAGUAUGUCACCAAUUUUCUUAGCGAAUCUAAGUGAUUCCAAGUAAUAAGUUGAAAUUUUCACUAUUUGUAUGUUUUUAUUGAUUAUUCAUUGUGGUUCUAAUAGUUUUUGGUUUAUAAUAUUUUGUUGGUCUGUUAUUUGCUGCAUAGUGGUUUAUGAUAGUUAUAUCUUUAUUGGAUCUUUAACAAUGUAGAAUAAGUUCUUUGUUUCAUUUCAUGUUAUUUGUUUCUAAAUUUUACUUCUUAUUUAACAGUAAUGUUGCAAAUCUUUAAAAAUGUUUUACUUUAUUUGUAAGGAAAACACCUAAAGCAAAGUGAAACAAUAAGUGAUGUAGGAUCUAUUAUUAUUAUUUUCCAUCAUGUGAAUCUUUGUCUUAACAGAGAGGCUUCGUCUAUUUAUAUUUGUUGUUACAAUUGAUUUCUUUCAUCAUUCUGUUAUUUCAGUGUUUCUCUUGAAAAAUAGGUUCUUGUUAUUCAAUGAUUUAGUUUUCACUUUAUGUAUCGUUUUCUUUAUUUUGUCCUUCAUAUUUUGCAAGCUAUAUAGCCUCUGUUAAAUUCCAUUAAUGGAUAUCUUUAAGCACUCUUUGACAUGUAAUUUUCUAAUGUCUCAGUAAAUAAAGAAUUUGUCAACAUAAAAUGUGUGUGUAGGCCAGGUGCGGUGGCUCAUGCCUGUAAUCCCAGAACUUUGGGAGGCCAAGGUGGGUGGAUCACCUGAGGUCAGGAUUUUGAAACCAGCCUGACCAACAUGGCGAAACCCCGUCUCUACUAAAAGAAUACAACACUUAGCCGGACGUGGGGG
rnacentral:lncRNA from 1 species